rnacentral:rRNA from 1 species
AGCAGCCGCGGUAAUUCCAGCUCCAAUAUCUUAUAUUAAAGUUGUUGCAGUUAAAAAGCUCGUAGUUGAAUUUCGGGAUCAGUACACUGGUCGUGCCUUGGUAUGUACUGGUGUUUCUGAUUCCUCCCUUCUGACGAACCGUCAUGUCAUUAAUUUGGUGUGGCGGGGAAUCAGGACUGUUACUUUGAAAAAAUUAGAGUGUUUAAAGCAGGCUCGCGCUUGAAUACAUUAGCAUGGAAUAAUGAAAUAGGACGUUCGAUCCUAUUUUGUUGGUUUCUAGGAUUGACGUAAUGAUUAAUAGGGAUAGUUGGG